UACGUAGGGGGCUAGCGUUGUCCGGAUUUAUUGGGCGUAAAGAGCGUGUAGGCGGCCAGGUAGGUCCGUCGUGAAAACUCGAGGCUUAACCUCGAGAUGUCAUCGGAAACCAUUUGGCUAGAGUCCGGAAGAGGAAAGUGGAAUUCCUGGUGUAGCGGUGAAAUGCGCAGAUAUCAGGAAGAACACCCGUGGCGAAGGCGGUUCUCUGGGACGGUACUGACGCUGAGACGCGAAAGCGUGGGGAGCGAACAGG
rnacentral:rRNA from 1 species